UGCUGCCUACGGGGGGCAGCAGUGGGGGAUAUUGCACAAUGGGGGGAACCCUGAUGCAGCGACGCCGCGUGGGUGAAGGAGCGUUUCGGCGCGUAAAGCCCUAUCGGCAGGGAAGAAGAUGACGGUACCUGACCAAGAAGCCCCGGCUAACUACGUGCCAGCAGCCGCGGUAAUACGUAGGGGGCAAGCGUUAUCCGGAUUUAUUGGGGGUAAAGGGGGGGCAGACGGGAAUGCAAGCCAGGAGUGAAAGCCCGGGGCCCAACCCCGGG
rnacentral:rRNA from 1 species